AGUCCUCAUAAUUUAUUAUACAUAGCGAUGUUUAUACAAAAUUAUUACAAACCUGAAUUUCAAUAAACAAAAAAUAAGAGGAAAUGGUGAAGACGGCUAGACAUCUGUUAGGCAGCAGCAUUUAUAACGCGAUCCGAUCUUGGCUUAAUAUUGUACCUGCUCAAGCACAAUAAAAAAAAUACACAACCACAAAACAACCCAUUUUUACACUAAAACUAUGAACGACCCACAAACAUGUAUCCUUACACUUAUUGAGAAAGCAGAAUUUCGAUCAUUAAUAGACAGUAUAACAAGCAAGUUUACCAAGGAUCGAACAGUCACAAAAUCAUAUCACUCAAAAAGUUUAAGGAAUGCGCACUAAAUAACCAAAAAAAAAAAACUAGUUUACAGAAGAUAAGAAAACUAAUCGAUUAAUAGGGAUAAACGGAUGAAAGAAGAAAAGAAAACUAAACUUUAGUUGCACUCAAGCAUGCAAGGACUAGUUCUUAAGGAAUAUCAACAAGAUGAAAGUUCAAGAUGAUUUGGAUGUCAUUAGCCAAAAGUUAAAAAUGUUAUUUGGAUGUAGAAAGCAAUAGUGUUCAGAUUUUCCCUAAUGAAGGAGCAAGACUCCCUUUUUAUAGUCAGGGAGUUAUAGUCAAUCACGUAAUAAAAGAAAAAAUAAUAUUUAGCUAAUCAAUUCAAGUUAAAAUUUCUUAAAUGGUGAAAUCAAUCUUGAUUCAAAUUGCCAUAAAUAAGUAAAGAAAAGCAGCCCAACUAUUAAAGGAAACCAAAAAAUGGGUAAAGAAUAAAAUCAAACAACUACAAUACCAUUUAUUUUUACCACAAUUAACCAAAUAAAUAAAGAGAUCUGACCAAACAUAAAUGGAUAAGAGAAUCGACAAAUCAACACAAGAAUUUUUUUUUCAUAUAAUUUGAGUUAAUUCGGAUGGAGAAAAAUCCUAGUGUAUCAUAAUUUUUUCAAAAUCAAGCAAUCAAACCAAUCAAAUCGUAUCAUAAUUAGUUAACAAAAUAGUUCAAAUACACAUAAGAAGUCCAUCACAAUUCGAAAUCAGUGAAACAAAGAACAAAAAAAUCAGAAUGGAGAAACUUGUAAUUAAAAUUAAAAUUAGGGUUUCAAAACAGUCUAUGAAAAUUAGGACUUUUAACAUAUGAUAGCAUGCAUGAUUAAGCAAACAUGAAUCACAAAUUCCUCAACCUACUUUGCCAAUUUCAGGUCACAAAAUUUGCCAAAGUGAAGCAAAAUAAAAGGUAGAAAGGGUUUUAACAAUUAAACAUAAAAUUAAAUGUGGGAUGGGUCCUCAAGAACCAAUCAUUUUCAGUGACGAAGGCGGCGACAGCGAUGAGAAGGUGGGAGGCUGGUUACGCAAUUCCGCCAUCGACAGCGGGAAUUUUUAUUGGGUUUGUCGGCGGAAAGUACAGCGACUGUUGAGUUUCGCCGGCGGAUUCGGCUGGUGACUCCACCGGAUUGGUUCUGCGAUGGGCGACGGUGGUAGAAAAUGAAGGCUGGUGGCUGAACGGAGCUAGAGACGAGAAGGAGAAGUGAGGUAGUUGUGCAUUGUUGGUGGUUCGCUGGAGAAGGUGGGCUGUCGGUGGACUGGCCGGCACUGGUCGGCGUCGGCGAAAAAGAGAGAGAGUAUAGGGAAGGCAACUGAUUUUGUUUUUUGGGGAAAUAAGAUUAAGGUUUGGGGAUUUAAUAUCAAUUUAGGCUAAAAUUGAUAUUAUUUGGAUAAAAUCAGGCUAGAAAUUAAAUAAAUUGAGAAAAAAAUAAAUAGAAGUAGACUAUUAUUUAGUAAAUAUUGUAUAAUUAGUAGAGAACAAUAGUCGAUAACAAG
rnacentral:lncRNA from 1 species